rnacentral:rRNA from 1 species
UACGUAGGGUGCGAGCGUUAAUCGGAAUUACUGGGCGUAAAGCGUGCGUAGGCGGUUCGUUAAGUUCGUUGUGAAAGCCCCGGGCUCAACCUGGGAACUGCAAUGGAAACUGGCGGGAUUGAGUGUGGCAGAGGGGGGUGGAAUUCCGCGUGUAGCAGUGAAAUGCGUAGAGAUGCGGAGGAACACCGAUGGCGAAGGCAGCCCCCUGGGCCAACACUGACGCUCAGGCACGAAAGCGUGGGGAGCAAACAGG